UCCGACAUGGUGUAGCGGUAACAUAGGUGCCUUUCAUUCGCCCGAAUGAAAGAAUGUGCACUUGCCCGGUCGACUCCCCGUAUCGGAA